rnacentral:rRNA from 1 species
CCUACGGGCGGCAGCAGUGGGGGAUAUUGCACAAUGGGGGCAACCCUGAUGCAGCGACGCCGCGUGGGCGAAGAAGUAUUUCGGUAUGUAAAGCCCUAUCAGCAGGGAAGAAGGAAUGACGGUACCUGAGUAUGACGCACCGGCUAACUACGUGCCAGCAGCCGCGGUAAUACGUAUGGUGCAAGCGUUAUCCGGAUUUACUGGGUGUACAGGGAGCGCAGGCGGCACGGCAAGCCUGAUGUGAAAGCCCGCGGCCCAACCGGGGGACUGCAUGGGGAACUACCGGGCUGGAGCGGCGGAGAGGUAGGCAGAAUUCCUAGUGUAGCGGUGAAAUGCGUAGAUAGGAGGAGGAACACCAGUGGCGAAGGCGGCCUACUGGACGGUGACUGACGCUGAGGCUCGAAAGCGUGGGGAGCAAACAGGAUUAGAUACCCGAGUAGUC